rnacentral:rRNA from 1 species
AGUGAACGCUGGCGGUAGGCCUAACACAUGCAAGUCGAACGGCAGCACAGUAAGAGCUUGCUCUUACGGGUGGCGAGUGGCGGACGGGUGAGGAAUACAUCGGAAUCUACUUUUUCGUGGGGGAUAACGUAGGGAAACUUACGCUAAUACCGCAUACGACCUACGGGUGAAAGCAGGGGAUCUUCGGACCUUGCGCGAUUGAAUGAGCCGAUGUCGGAUUAGCUAGUUGGCGGGGUAAAGGCCCACCAAGGCGACGAUCCGUAGCUGGUCUGAGAGGAUGAUCAGCCACACUGGAACUGAGACACGGUCCAGACUCCUACGGGAGGCAGCAGUGGGGAAUAUUGGACAAUGGGCGCAAGCCUGAUCCAGCCAUACCGCGUGGGUGAAGAAGGCCUUCGGGUUGUAAAGCCCUUUUGUUGGGAAAGAAAAGCAGCAGGUUAACACCCCGCUGUUCUGACGGUACCCAAAGAAUAAGCACCGGCUAACUUCAUG